UUGGCUUCCAAUUUGUUUCUAUGCACAAUUCGAAGUGCUGGGUAUUAUCUACUAAUACCUAAAUCACUUGAGACCAGCUUAUUUGAAGGACCAUCUUUUCCCACAGGUAUCUGCCUGUAAUCUGAAUUCAGCAUAUGAGGAUCUGCUUCAUAGUCAUCUUAAAAAAAAUGGCUGGUCUGCUGCACUGUGUCUGUAAAGCAUCUUUAUGGAAAACCACAAGGCUUCUGAAGCAGAUGCAUAAUAGAAAUUUACUAUCAAGUCAUCUGAGUGUAAUGACAUCACCAAUAUCCUUAUCAUGAACUUGAAAACCCUUAAAUAUGCAUGGCAGCAGUCUGAGUUUAUUUACUGUAAGUAUUUUUAGUAAUCCAAUUUAGCAACACAUUUUAUAUUUUAAAGUAGUAUCUUAGGCUGAAUCCAGGCUAAAAUAAAUUAGACAGAGAAUUUAUUGGGAAAAAUGGUUACAGUGCCUUUGGGGGCACAAUAUUAAUUGAUUAUUUUAACAUGUCUUAAUCAUAUAGGCAUCUACUUGCUGGUAUG